rnacentral:lncRNA from 10 species
CAGAGAGAAAAAUGAUGUAUCUACAGGAAAGACUGCUCUGGACAUCGCUAGACCCAGGGUUUGGGGUAGGAUGAACAGUCAGUCAUUCAAGCAUUGGUGGUAACCAGGGAGCACACUCUGGAGCCACAGCAAGGCCAACAAGGGCAGGUGACUUGUAGGAAGAGCAAGGCCGGGAGGCAGUUCCAGCUCCUCCACCCCUCCUAGUGACCUUGGGCAGCUCACCUCACCUCCUCUAUCACUGUCUUUCCAGCUGGAUUCCUCAAAGGACCAUUCUGAAGAACAAGUAAAAAAAGUCUAUGUUUAAGGUAUGAUGAAAACCAUCAUCAGUCAGUAGAAGGUGAGAAUGAGAGCAGGUUGACCUUCAGACCUGUGGAUCAAGAAGAAACAUGAGAUGACCACAGAAAAUACGGUUGCUGAUCCCUGCCUUCAAGGAAUGCUGGCCAGUUUUCUGGAGACUCCCAGCCUCUCAGCUGAGACCACAGGUAGUUGGUCAGACUCUAUACUGCAGGAGGUACCCUGUGCACAUGAACAUAAUGGGAAGGAUAACAUCAGCAAGAUGGCCAAGUAGGAAGCCCUGGACUCUCCUUCUCCCAGUGGACACAGCUCAACAACGGUGCAUGGACAAAUUCCCUUUUCGAGGAAUUCAGAAACUCAUUGAGAAGCUCCUGCGCCCUGCAUGAACAUGAAACCAGCCGCAUUGAAGCCAGUAGGAAAAUUCAAAACACACUCUCAUUGUAAUCCCUACCCCAACACAUCACCAUACCAUCAGAAGGAAACCAUCUGUUCCCAGCUUCUCCCUAGGAGAAGAGUUGAAGCAGGUACCCAGCCUUCCAACUUUUCCAGGGGCUGCUCAAGGGAUAGAUUUCUGUCUCUUCUGUCUUAGAGCACUGAUGAGACCUAGUAAAAUCAAG